rnacentral:lncRNA from 1 species
GCUGAUCCAGUGCUUCGACUGGGACAGGGUUGGUGGUGUCGAGGUUGACAUGACUGAGAGCGGCGGGCUCACCAUCCCCAUGGCCGUCCCGCUGGAGGCCGUGUGCAGGCCUCGUGCAGCUAUGCGUGAUGUUCUUGAGGAGCUCUGAUGUCUCCAUGCUGGGCUGCAUCGACCUCGAUCUCCGGCGAGCUGCAAGUUCCGUCACCAGGUGUUCUAGGCUUUAACCACCGGGCGCAUCACUGUGGUUUCUUCUAGUUUCAUCUACCAGUUAUCGAGUAUCUUGGAUCUUUGACUUACGGCGCAUCGCUUCUGUCUCGAUCUACGGUAUUCACCAGUUAUCCCGCCUUGAUUAAGCUUGCAUCGGCUGAUAUUUGUCUGUUCUAUCGUCUUGCCGUUUACGACAUAUUAAUUGUUAUUAAUUCUGUCGGAAUAGACGAUAGAUCUAUUCUUAAUAGCCUGUUGCAUUUUAAUCUUUGUUACCCUUUCGAGUGCUGUUGGGAUUAAGUUUCGUUAUGAUUGGAUUCAUCGGUUGGCGAGGUUCAGAUUAACAUCCUGCUAAAUAUUUCUAGACUGCAACUACCGGGCGCAUCGCUGUGGUUUCACCUAAAAAUAUUGGUGGUGAUGUUAGUUUAGAUCUCAUCGGCUUGUGGCUCUAGCUAUGGUGGAGCAACAACUCAACAGCAUCGUGUUUCCUAUCGGCCGUAUGGCUGAUGGUUAUUGUAAAUUAUAUUAAAUCGGCCCGAUCGGCCGACUCCAUCGAACUUCGAGAGAACUAUCUCCACCUUGUCAGUUGAAUGGUCAAACUGACUGGCACGCCCGCGCACACCAUGCGCGCCGAUUUGAAUUCUGCACUGGAGUUAAGCAGAUCUCCCAGAUCCUCAUGUGGUGAUGCAGUGUCCACCAUCAUCAGGAUUUUGCGUCAACACAUUUUGGUACGUCCGGUGGGACACGAGGAAGCAUUGGCUGAUUAAAAAUGCAUCGGGCAAUUGGAAUAAAAAAAGGAGUUGUAUCGGCUGAUUACAGAAAAUAUCGACCGAUUACAAAAAUCGGCUGGCUUCUUUAUUUACAUUGCCUGUUUUCAGCCGAUGGACAUAAAAGAGCAGCCGAUGGACAAAGGAACAAAUGAAAAAAAAGAAAGAAAGAGAAGCAGUCGGCCGAUGGGAAAGGAAUAAAUGAAUUUUAAAGAAGGGAGCAGUCGGCCGAUGGAUAUCGAAGGAAUAAAUAAAAGAAGAAAAAAGGAGCAGCCAGCCGAUGGUACAAAGAACUAAUGAUUAAUUUCAAUCGGCCGGGUACUUCCGUCAUCGGCUAUAUAAAAAAAGAAUUAUGCAAGCCAAUCGGCUGGGAACUUCCGUCAUCGGUUGAGAUGCUAUUGAGAGCACUAGCUCGCACUACAGGCUUUACACAAAUUGGUUAUUAUUUGGAGCUGAGCUGAUAGGGGGGUACAUCAGCAUCGGCCGGUUGGUGGUGCAUCGGCCGAUAGACACAGUUACAAAAUAAUACUUGGUGUCUGAUGAUGGGACUAGUUUAUUCAGCCAAUAGGGUGGUCGAUGGCUUGCGACCAAAUCGGCUGUGUCAUGUUAUUUAGGCCUUGUUUACUUCCCAAGUUGGGAGUUGCAAAAUUGGCAUUUUGCCAUAAAUGUGACACUGUAGCGUUUCGUUUGUAUUUGUGAAUUAUUGUCCAAAUAUUGACUAAUUAGGCUCAAAAGAUUCGUCUCGCAAAGUACAACAAAAAUGUGCAAUUAGUUUUUGAUUUCGUCUACAUUUAGUACUCCAUGCAUGUACCGCAAGUUUGAUGUGAUGGGGAAUCUUCUUUUUGCAUAGUGUUAAAGUUGGAAGUUUGGAGGGAAGUAAACAAGGGCUUAAUUAAAGGAUAUGGAGGUAUGAGUAAAUGCUAAUCGCUUCCCGCUUAUAAAGAGCUGAUGGAGUCGACUUCCUCUCAACAAAGCAAAAUAAGAUGUCGAGCUUACAUGAAGCCGAUGGAUUAGGCAGUGAAGAUGAAGUUUUGCAAGGUACAUGCCUCUUCAAGGCUCAAAAUAAUCCUUCGUUGCCUGGACUAUUGACGUGUAGACUAGUGGCCAAAGUAUUCUCAGGACAGCCCAUGGAGUGAAUUGGCUUCAAAAAAAAAAAAAGGCUGACUUGAAUAGCCGAUGGAAUGGCCGAUGCAGAAGUCUCGUCGGGGAAAUAGUAAUUUACAUGCUGAUUACGUGAUGGCUCUAGAAAAAAGUAUCGGCUGAUAUAAAAGUAUCGGCCGCUAACGACAAAGAGUAUCGGCUGAAGAAAGCAUCGGCCGAUUAGAAAAUUGGAUCGGCCGAUUGAAAGCUGUAUCGACUGAUUAAAAAAAAAUUGCAUCGGCCGAUUGGAAAUUGCAUCAGCCAAUUGAAAAUUGAUAGGUUGAUUGAAAGUUGUACGGUUAAUUAAAAAAAAUGCAUCGGCCACCGGCCGAUUGAUUGCUUGGCAAAAAGCAUCGGCUGAUUGCUUCGGCCGAUUGAUUGCUUGGCCAAUAAAAAAAUUUGACUGAUUGGAUCAAGCAAAAUAGUAUCGACUGCUUACAAAAUAUAUCGGAUGUUAAUUUCGAAGCAUGAAAUAUUCAUACUUCAAAACUGGGGGGCCUGUGUUGACAACAAAAGCUUGCUGGUUACUGCAACAGACUGAUCUAUUGUUUCUACUGCUAGCGAAUUUAUCGGCUCAGAGUGGGAUCAAGGCAUCAAGCCGAUGGGGUUCUUUAUAUUUCAAGAGGAGUCGAUGUGGCUUUGGAUAUUGUAAUCAGACGUCAUUAGCUCUAAAGGAAAGCUUCGGACUUCUAUAAUUAGUUUCGGAACAUGAAGUCUUCUGUUAACACCGGAUUUUGACCAAUCCUAUAAAUUCGGAGUACAAGAUAAUUGGAGUCACGUACAACAAUAAGAAGCUAGCAUGCGUGUAUAUGGGCACGGAGUCCAAAUCGGCUUCAUUGGAUUGAUCGGCAAGGAGAGGCAAGGAUGAUAUAAAGGAAUGGCCAGCACGUAUGGAUAAAAAUGAUUAGAAUAUACAACAUGGAUUCUGGUGCACUUUGCAUGCCAUGCGUGGGAGGCUUCCAGAAUAAUUAUGCAUGCGGCCGAUCUGUGCAUGUACGGGAGGUUGUUUCAUAGAAUAAAAUAUUUUAGAGAUAGAGUUGGGUUAGUUAGAGAUAGAGUGUUUUAUUAGAAAAGAUUGUGUACGUGACUUGCCUUGUGCGUGGUUAGAUACCAAUUAUGUAACGUCCGCCCUAUAAAUAUAAAGGGACGUGGCCAUUGUAAAGAAUAAUAACACGAUCAAUAAUACAACAUAUUUACCUUACCUUUCGGCUUCACGCCAUUGCCCUAGGAGUAGGAGUAAUGUAGAUUCUCGACGAGUUCCUUCUAGCAAGCUGGGCUGCAUCGACCUCGAUCUCCGGCGAGCUGCAAGUUCCGUC